rnacentral:rRNA from 1 species
AGAGUUUGAUCCUGGCUCAGAUUGAACGCUGGCGGCAUGCCUUACACAUGCAAGUCGAACGGUAGCGGGCCUUCGGGUGCCGACGAGUGGCGAACGGGUGAGUAAUGCAUCGGAACGUACCUUCAGUGGGGGAUAACGUAGCGAAAGUUACGCUAAUACCGCAUAUUCUGUGAGCAGGAAAGCAGGGGAUCGCAAGACCUUGCGCUGAUUGAGCGGCCGAUGUCAGAUUAGCUAGUUGGUGAGGUAAAGGCUCACCAAGGCGACGAUCUGUAGCGGGUCUGAGAGGAUGAUCCGCCACACUGGAACUGAGACACGGUCCAGACUCCUACGGGAGGCAGCAGUGGGGAAUUUUGGACAAUGGGGGCAACCCUGAUCCAGCCAUGCCGCGUGAGUGAAGAAGGCCUUCGGGUUGUAAAGCUCUUUCGGCCGGGAAGAAAUCGUAUGGGCUAAUACCCUGUGCGGAUGACGGUACCGGCAUAAGAAGCACCGGCUAACUACGUG